AUCUGUUAUGAUGUUGUCUUCUGAGUUUGUGACUUCAUUGUUACCAUAGUAGCCUUCUACGGACAGAUUCUUUUAUUGUUGUUGUUUACUCAUUUUCCCCAGAAUAUUUCUUUUCUUUGGACUUUAUUUUAUAGUUAGGCUCUGCUCCAAGGAUGGCCAUGAAGGAGCACUGAGUCAAGCUUUAGGCUUUUUCACCUAGAUCUUCUCAGAGCUAAUUCUGGGGUUAGGAAAAUUCCCACUGCUUUCAAGAUGGUAUGAUUUAGGGAGAAGUGUGAUCACCACUAACCAAGGAAGCACUUUUGAUCCCUUUCAGCUGCAGCUACUGUUUCUCUGAACUACUGACCUAUUGGGACUAAAAGAGAUUUUCUCCAUCUAGAACUGUGCUCUGAUAACAGCUCUGUUGGAAAAUCACGCUAUCAACAAAAACCGGAUACACACAAGGACACAGGAACAAGCAGUUGGAUCAAAAAGACAGUCACAAGAGAGGGAGACUAGUCCAACUCACAAGGUCCAUCCAAGGAGCUUAGACCAACCAUCUCCAGCUUCAACUGUCCCCAAGGAAAAGCAACUCUGUCACUCUCCUAGAAUUGUGGAACCUUCCUGCUUCUUCCUUUGCAGCAGCCCCUCCUGCUCAUUUCCUUAUAACUGGAGAGAGAAUUUCAUCAGUUUUUCAGAAAAUUUUGUCACUGUCUUUUUUUCUGAAGUUUUCAGCUAUUUCAUCUUUCUGUCCAAGUGCUGUAAUAAACACUAGUCAUCAUAAUCCUA